rnacentral:rRNA from 1 species
GACAGAGGUGGCGAGCGUUGUUCGGAAUUACUGGGCUUAAAGGGCGAGUAGGCGGUGGAGCAAGUCUGAGGUGGAAUCCUACGGCUUAACCGUAGAACUGCCUUGGAAACUGUUUUACUUGAGUCAGUGAGGGGAGGGCGGAAUUCCUGGUGUAGCGGUGAAAUGCGUAGAUAUCAGGAGGAAGGCCUGUGGCGAAAGUGGCCCUCUGGCACUGUACUGACGCUGAGGAGCGAAAGCGUGGGGAGCAAACAGG